rnacentral:rRNA from 1 species
UACAGAGGGUGCGAGCGUUGUCCGGAAUCACUGGGCGUAAAGGGCGCGUAGGCGGCCUGAUAAGUAGGGGGUGAAAUCUUGCGGCUCAACCGCAAGGCUGCCUUCUAAACUGUCAGGCUGGAGCACGGUAGAGGCAGAUGGAAUUCCCGGUGUAGCGGUGGAAUGCGUAGAGAUCGGGAAGAACACCAGUGGCGAAGGCGGUCUGCUGGGCCGUUGCUGACGCUGAGGAGCGAAAGCGUGGGGAGCAUACAGG